rnacentral:rRNA from 1 species
AGUUACCUACGGGGGGCAGCAGUGGGGAAUAUUGGGCAAUGGGCGCAAGCCUGACCCAGCAACGCCGCGUGAAGGAAGAAGGCUUUCGGGUUGUAAACUUCUUUUCUCAGGGACGAAGCAAGUGACGGUACCUGAGGAAUAAGCCACGGCUAACUACGUGCCAGCAGCCGCGGUAAUACGUAGGUGGCAAGCGUUGUCCGGAUUUACUGGGUGUAAAGGGCGUGUAGGCGGGGGCGCAAGUCAGAUGUGAAGACCACGGGCUCAACCUGUGGCCUGCAUUUGAAACUGGGGUUCUUGAGUACUGG